rnacentral:rRNA from 1 species
AACGCUGGCGGCGUGCCUAACACAUGCAAGUCGAGCGGGAAACAGGGUUCGGAGGCUUCGGCCGAAGAACUUUGUGGAGAGCGGCGGACGGGUGAGUAACGCGUGAGUAACCUGCCUUACGGAGGGGGAUAACACAAAGAAAUUUGUGCUAAUACCGCAUAACAUAUCAAAACCGCAUGGUUUAGAUAUCAAAGAUUUAUCACCGUAAGAUGGACUCGCGUCUGAUUAGCUAGUAGGUAGGGUAAUGGCCUACCUAGGCGACGAUCAGUAGCCGAACUGAGAGGUUGAUCGGCCACAUUGGGACUGAGACACGGCCCAGACUCCUACGGGAGGCAGCAGUGGGGAAUAUUGCGCAAUGGGGGGAAAAAACCCCCUGACGCAGCAACGCCGCGUGAAGGAAGAAGGUCUUCGGAUCGUAAACUUUUGUCUUCAGGGACGAUAAUGACGGUACCUGAGGAGGAAGCCACGGCUAACUACGUGCCAGCAGCCGC